rnacentral:rRNA from 1 species
UACAGAGGGGGCAAGCGUUGUUCGGAAUUACUGGGCGUAAAGGGCGCGUAGGCGGCCCGCUAAGUCGAACGUGAAAUCCCCGAGCUCAACUCGGGAACUGCGUCCGAUACUGGCGGGCUUGAAUCCGGGAGAGGGAUGCGGAAUUCCACGUGUAGCGGUGAAAUGCGUAGAGAUGUGGAGGAACACCGAUGGCGAAGGCAGCCUUCUGGGCCAACACUGACGCUCAUGCGCGAAAGCGUGGGGAGCAAACAGG